UUUUGAAGAUCAAAGGAGAUAGAAAAUGAGAAACUGCUUAGCAAAAUAUGAAAUGCAAACGAUAUCUGCAAUAGUAUCAGGCUCUUAGCUCGCCGUGACAUGGCCCAGCCUCAGCACAUGACAGCAUCGCUCCAGGUGGUCACAAGGAUGAGAAAACACAGAUAGGAAUGAUCAACAUUGAAAAGAGAGGCAAAAAGAAUAACAAUCUGCUGAUGGCUGUGGUGCCAGGAUGAACACAAAUUCUUCCUUGGGCAUAGCUGAGAUGUGCUGGAUAUCCAAAGAGAUCAACCCCUGCAGGAAGACAACAGUGAAAGACACACUCUGGCUGCUGCACGGUAAAGCCGGACCCCCAUGGGGGACAUGGAUGAAUCUGGAAAACAUCAUCCUCAGCAAACUGACACAAGAACAGAAAAUGAAACACCGCAUAUUCUCACUCAUAGGUGGGUGAUGAAAAAUGAGAACACAUGGACACAGAAAGGGGAGUACUAAACACUGGGGUCUAUUGGGGGGAGAAGGGGAGGGCCAGUGGGAGGGGGAGGUGGGCCUGGGGAGAAAAGCCAAAUGUGGGUGAAGGGGAGAAGAAAAGAAAGCACACUGCCAUGUGUGUACCUACGCAACUGUCUUGCAUGCUCUGCUCAUGUACCCCAAAACCUAUAAUCCAAUAAAAAAUUAAAAAAAAAAAAAAAAAAGAAACUGCUAAACUGUUUUUCAAAAUGGCUAGAAUAUGUUGCAUUCUCACCUGCCAUGUAUGA
rnacentral:lncRNA from 1 species